GAGAGAAGUGUGGCUGAAGGGUUGGGCAAUGAAGACACCCUGAAACCACUGGAAAGGGAGCCUAAGCUUGGAUUUUUACAUACGUUAAACAAGAUAGACACCAUGGGCCAAAUUCAUCCCUGCUGAAACCCAACUGAAAUCCGUGAAUUGAUACCAAGGAUGAACUGGCUAUGUGGCUAUAGUGUGUCCCUCAGAAAAAUGUACGUCUUAAUCUUGGGGACAUUUUUACUUAAGAAAAGGACACCUCUUCAAUAUCUUUCUGGAGUUUCCUUGCCCCUCAUCAUUCUUGUUGCCUGCCUCUGAACCUCCAUCAUUGCUGUUAUAUCCUAAGGGACUUCUUUGGAGAAUAAUGUCAUACACACCUUUAUAUGAAAACAGAGAUGAGUUUUCAUAUUCCCAAA